AGCUCGUCAACAGCUUGGAGUUCUUCAACAA
rnacentral:sRNA from 1 species